GGACUACUCGGGUAUCUAAUCCCGUUUGCUCCCCUGGCUUUCGCGCCUCAGCGUCAGUAGAGGGCCAGCGGACCGCUUUCGCCACCGGCGUUCCUUCCGAUAUCAACGCAUUUCACCGCUCCACCGGAAGUUCCGUCCGCCCCUACCUCCCUCGAGCCACGCAGUAUCAAAGGCACUUUUCCGGUUGGGCCGAAAGAUUUCACCUCUGACUUGCCUGGCCGCCUACGCGCCCUUUAAGCCCAGUGAUUCCGAACAACGUUCGCACGGUUCGUCUUACCGCGGCUGCUGGCAC
rnacentral:rRNA from 1 species